CCUACGGGAGGCUGCAGUGAGGAAUAUUGGUCAAUGGACGAGAGUCUGAACCAGCCAAGUAGCGUGAAGGAUGACUGCCCUAUGGGUUGUAAACUUCUUUUAUAUGGGAAUAAAAUGUUCCUCGUGAGGGAUUUUGUAUGUACCAUAUGAAUAAGGAUCGGCUAACUCCGUGCCAGCAGCCGCGGUAAUACGGAGGAUCCGAGCGUUAUCCGGAUUUAUUGGGUUUAAAGGGAGCGUAGGUGGAUUGUUAAGUCAGUUGUGAAAGUUUGCGGCUCAACCGUAAAAUUGCAGUUGAAACUGGCAGUCUUGAGUACAGGAGAGGUGGGCGGAAUUCGUGGUGUAGCGGUGAAAUGCUUAGAUAUCACGAAGAACUCCGAUUGCGAAGGCAGUUCACUGGACUGCAACUGACACUGAGGCUCGAAAGUGUGGGUAUCAAACAGGAUUAGAUACCCCGGUAGUC
rnacentral:rRNA from 1 species